rnacentral:rRNA from 1 species
UGGGGAAUUUUGGACAAUGGGCGAAAGCCUGAUCCAGCAAUGCCGCGUGUGUGAAGAAGGCCUUCGGGUUGUAAAGCACUUUUGUCCGGAAAGAAAUCCUUGGCUCUAAUACAGUCGGGGGAUGACGGUACCGGAAGAAUAAGCACCGGCUAACUACGUGCCAGCAGCCGCGGUAAUACGUAGGGUGCAAGCGUUAAUCGGAAUUACUGGGCGUAAAGCGUGCGCAGGCGGUUUGCUGAGACCGAUGUGAAAUCCCCGGGCUCAACCUGGGAACUGCAUUGGUGACUGGCAGGCUAGAGUAUGGCAGAGGGGGGUAGAAUUCCACGUGUAGCAGUGAAAUGCGUAGAGAUGUGGAGGAAUACCGAUGGCGAAGGCAGCCCCCUGGGCCAAUACUGACGCUCAUGCACGAAAAGCGUGGGGGAGCAAAACAGGAUUAGAUACCCUGGUAGUCCACGCCCUAAAACGAUGUCAACUAGUUGUUGGGGAUUCAUUUCCUUAGUAACGUAGCUAACGCGUGAAGUUGACCGCCUGGGGAGUACGGUCGCAAGAUUAAAACUUAAAUGAAUUGACGGGGUCAUAGCUGUUUCCU